rnacentral:rRNA from 1 species
CAAUAGCGUAUAUUUAAGUUGUUGCAGUUAAAAAGCUCGUAGUUGGAUUUCGGGUGGGACGCAGCGGUCUCGCAUUGCGUUUGUACUGCUGCAGCCCUCCUUCUUGCCGGGGGCGGCCUCUCGGACUUCACUGUCUGGGGGUCAGAAUCGGCGAUGUUACUUUGAGUAAAUUAGAGUGUUCAAGGCAAGCUUACGCUCUGAAUAUAAUAGCAUGGGAUAACACGACAGGACUCUGGCCUAUCGUGUUGGUCUAUAGGACCAGAGUAAUGAUUAAGAGGGACAGUCGGGGGCAUUCGUAUUCCGUUGUCAGAGGUGAAAUUCUUGGAUUUACGGAAGACGAACAUCUGCGAAAGCAUUUGCCAAGGAUGUUUUCAUUGA